UACGGGGGGGGCAAGCGUUGUUCGGAAUUACUGGGCGUAAAGGGCUCGUAGGCGGCCAACUAAGUCAGACGUGAAAUCCCUCGGCUUAACCGGGGAACUGCAUCUGAUACUGGAUGGCUAGAGAUUGGGAGAGGGAUGCGGAAUUCCAGGUGUAGCGGUGAAAUGCGUAGAUAUCUGGAGGAACACCGAUGGCGAAGGCAGCCCCCUGGGCCAACACUGACGCUCAGGCACGAAAGCGUGGGGAGCAAACAGG
rnacentral:rRNA from 1 species